CUGGAAUCGCUAGUAAUCGCGGAUCAGAAUGCCGCGGUGAAUACGUUCCCGGGUCUUGUACACACCGCCCGUCACACCAUGGGAGUCGGAAAUGCCCGAAGUCUGUGACCUAACCGCAAGGGAGGAGCAGCCGAAGGCAGGUCGGAUGACUGGGGUGAAGUCGUAACAAGGUAGC
rnacentral:rRNA from 1 species